CCAGAAUGUACAGCAGUGAGAACAGAGACCAGAUAGUUGAGGAAGAUAAGGAUCCUGCCAGUUUCACAGAAAUGCCAAUCUGAGGUCUGCAGUGCUUUACCGAUCUUGUGACACUGGUUGGAUGGCCUGUUGGAUAAGCAUGCUGCACCUGAGGAUUUGACAUUAUCAGUUGAGCUGCAUCACUGCACCCACAGGACCACGGACCACAAAGUAGUAACCACUAAUGCUGAACAGAUGUUCAUCAGCUGCUGAAAUGGCAUGAACUCUUCCUGCAUGGUGGCUGGUUUCAUUGGGGCUUUAGCUGCAUUAAGGCGUCACUGCAGUUUAUUCGCUUGCUGCAGUAUAAAAUCACAUGAUAACAAGAAACACGACAACAGAAACUACCUGAAAGUAAGCAGAAGCAGCACCAAAAGAUCAAGACCCGCAGCGUAGUCCAUUCUCUUCAAGGUAGUACGGGUACAGUCACAUUGGAGGACAGGCAGGAAGCGGCGUGGGCAGCCUCCCUGUGUCACCGCCUGCGUCAGACCAGACGCCAGGAGGGAGUUUUCCACUGACGAAAAAGGCUGCGCUUCUCGGCAGUCUGCUACAGACAAGGGAAGCGCUUCAGCUGGUACGGAGCCCCGUGCGGCGGAGAAACACACAGACAAUAGCACCGAGAGCUGUCUAUAUGCGGGGAUAAGCGCUGUAUUUAUUUGUGCCAUCUGGAUUACUUACACUGGUAUCCCAUCGGCUGUUUACCCAACGCUAUUUUAUCACUAAUGGUGAUCGUUGAGUCGAAUUGGUG